UACGAAGGGGGCUAGCGUUACUCGGAUUGACUGGGCGUAAAGGGCGCGUAGGCGGCUUGUACAGUCAGACGUGAAAUUCCUGGGCUCAACCUGGGGGGCUGCGUUUGAUACGUGCGGGCUUGAGUUCGGAAGAGGGUCGUGGAAUUCCCAGUGUAGAGGUGGAAAUUCGUAGAUAUUGGGAAGAACACCGGUGGCGAAGGCGGCGACCUGGUCCGAUACUGACGCUGAGGCGCGAAAGCGUGGGGAGCAAACGG
rnacentral:rRNA from 1 species